rnacentral:rRNA from 1 species
UCCGUAGGCGGGCUAAUAAGUCAGGGGUGAAAUCCCACAGCUUAACUGUGGAACUGCCUUUGAUACUGUUAGUCUUGAGUUAUAUGGAAGUAGAUAGAAUGUGUAGUGUAGCGGUGAAAUGCUUAGAGAUUACACAGAAUACCGAUUGCGAAGGCAGUCUACUACGUAUAUAUUGACGCUAAUGGACGAAAGCGUGGGGAGCGAACAGGAUUAGAUACCCUGGUAGUCC